rnacentral:rRNA from 1 species
GACGAACGCUGGCGGCGUGCUUAACACAUGCAAGUCGAACGGAAAGGCCCUGCUUUUGUGGGGUGCUCGAGUGGCGAACGGGUGAGUAACACGUGAGUAACCUGCUCUUGACUUUGGGAUAACUUCAGGAAACUGGGGCUAAUACCGGAUAGGAGCUCCUGCUGCAUGGUGGGGGUUGGAAAGUUUCGGCGGUUUGGGAUGGACUCGCGGCUUAUCAGCUUGCUGGUGGGGUAGUGGCUUACCAAGGCUUUGACGGGUAGCCGGCCUGAGGGGGUGACCGGCCACAAUGGGACUGAGAUACGGCCCAGACUCCUACGGGAGGCAGCAGUGGGGAAUAUUGCACAAUGAGCGGAAGCCUGAUGCAGCAACGCCGCGUGCGGGAUGACGGCCUUCGGGUUGUAAACCGCUUUCGCCUGUGACGAAGCGUGAGUGACGGUAAUGGGUAAAGAAGCACCGGCUAACUACGUG